rnacentral:misc_RNA from 1 species
GAUGAAGAACGUAGCGAACGUGCGAAACGUAAUGUGAAUUGCAGAAUUCAGUGAAUCAUCGAAUCUUUGAACGCAUCUUGCGCUCCUUGGUAUUCCGAGGAGCAUGCCUGUUUGAGUGUCGUGAAUACUCUCAACUUCAACCCUUUUUUCGGAAAGGGAGGAAGGUUGGACUUGGGUGUUUGUUGAAGUGCGAGCUUCGACUCAUCCUAAAUGCAUUAGCGAUCUGCCUCGAUCACACACAAUGUGAUAAUUAAAACUAAAGCAUUGUUUAAUGAUCAAGUCGAGACUGCUUCUAACUGUCGCAAGACAAUAACGUGCAUACAUUUGUGCAUGUCAUUUGACCUCAAAUCAGGUAGGACUACCCGCUGAACUUAAGCAUAUCAAUGAGCGGAGGA